rnacentral:miRNA from 1 species
ACGCUCAGUUAAGUCUGAACUUCAGAUAAACAACAAAUACAUUUUAGAAUAAAUAUGUCCUGGGUAAUAUUUGGGAUAUAUUUAUGCUAAAAAAAUGUAUUCAUU